rnacentral:rRNA from 1 species
GUAGGGCGCAAGCGUUGUCCGGAAUUAUUGGGCGUAAAGAGCUCGGUAGGCGGCUUGUUGCGUCGACUGUGAAAAACCACGACUCAACCGUGGGACUGCAGUCGAUACGGGCAGGCUAGAGUUCGGUAGGGGAGGACUGGAAUUCCUGGUGUAGCGGUGAAAUGCGCAGAUAUCAGGAGGAACACCGGUGGCGAAGGCGGGUCUCUGGGCCGAUACUGACGCUGAGGAGCGAAAGCGUGGGGAGCGAACAGG